AAAAGGUGGCUAUGCUACCGCUUUUGGAUGGGCCCGCGGCGCAUUAGCUAGUUGGUGGGGUAAAGGCUUACCAAGGCAAUGAUGCGUAGCCGAACUGAGAGGUUGAUCGGCCACAUUGGGACUGAGACACGGCCCAAACUCCUACGGGAGGCAGCAGUAGGGAAUCUUCCACAAUGGGCGAAAGCCUGAUGGAGCAACGCCGCGUGGGUGAAGAAGGUCUUCGGAUCGUAAAACCCUGUUGUUAGAGAAGAAAGUGCGUGAGAGUAACUGUUCACGUUUCGACGGUAUCUAACCAGAAAGCCACGGCUAACUACGUGCCAGCAGCCGCGGUAAUACGUAGGUGGCAAGCGUUAUCCGGAUUUAUUGGGCGUAAAGGGAACGCAGGCGGUCUUUUAAGUCUGAUGUGAAAGCCUUCGGCUUAACCGGAGUAGUGCAUUGGAAACUGGGAGACUUGAGUGCAGAAGAGGAGAGUGGAACUCCAUGUGUAGCGGUGAAAUGCGUAGAUAUAUGGAAGAACACCAGUGGCGAAAGCGGCUCUCUGGUCUGUAACUGACGCUGAGGUUCGAAAGCGUGGGUAGCAAACAGGAUUAGAUACCCUGGUAGUCCACGCCGUAAACGAUGAAUGCUAAGUGUUGGAGGGUUUCCGCCCCUCA
rnacentral:rRNA from 1 species